rnacentral:rRNA from 3 species
GUAAGCGCUGUGAGGCGUUGAGCUAACCAAUACUAAUUGCCCGUGAGGCUUGACCAUAUAACACCCAAGCA